rnacentral:rRNA from 1 species
GGAUUAGAUACCCUGGUAGUCCACGCAGUAAACGGUGAACACUAGGUGUAGCGGGUAUUGACCCCCGCUGUGCCGCAGUUAACGCAUUAAGUGUUCCGCCUGGGAAGUACGGCCGCAAGGCUAAAACUCAAAGGAAUUGACGGGGGCCCGCACAAGCGGUGGAGCAUGUGGUUUAAUUCGACGCAACGCGAAGAACCUUACCUGGAUUUGACAUCCCGGGAAUCCUUUGGAAACAUAGGAGUACCCUUCGGGGAGCCCGGUGACAGGUGCUGCAUGGCUGUCGUCAGCUCGUGCCG